GCCUGGGUGGCUCAGUUGGUUAAGCAUCUGACUUCGGCUCAGAUCAUGAUCUCAUGGGUUCGUGGGUUCAAGCCUCGCAUAGGGCU
rnacentral:tRNA from 1 species